CCUACGGGGGGCUGCAGUGGGGAAUAUUGGACAAUGGGGGCAACCCUGAUCCAGCCAUGCCGCGUGUGUGAAGAAGGCCCUCGGGUUGUAAAGCACUUUCAGUGAGGAAGAACGCCUGGUGGUUAAUACCCAUCAGGAAAGACAUCACUCACAGAAGAAGCACCGGCUAACUCCGUGCCAGCAGCCGCGGUAAUACGGAGGGUGCGAGCGUUAAUCGGAAUUACUGGGCGUAAAGCGCGCGUAGGUGGCUUGAUAAGCCGGUUGUGAAAGCCCCGGGCUCAACCUGGGAACGGCAUCCGGAACCGUCAAGCUAGAGUGCAGGAGAGGAAGGUAGAAUUCCCGGUGUAGCGGUGAAAUGCGUAGAGAUCGGGAGGAAUACCAGUGGCGAAGGCGGCCUUCUGGACUGACACUGACACUGAGGUGCGAAAGCGUGGGUAGCAAACAGGAUUAGAUACCCCGGUAGUC
rnacentral:rRNA from 1 species